rnacentral:rRNA from 1 species
CCCAGACUCCUACGGGAGGCAGCAGUGGGGGAUAUUGCACAAUGGGGGAAACCCUGAUGCAGCAACGCCGCGUGAGUGAAGAAGUAUUUCGGUAUGUAAAGCUCUAUCAGCAGGGAAGAAGAAAGACGGUACCUGACUAAGAAGCCCCGGCUAACUACGUGCCAGCAGCCGCGGUAAUACGUAGGGGGCAAGCGUUAUCCGGAUUUACUGGGUGUAAAGGGGGCGCAGACGGCAGCGCAAGCCAGGAGUGAAAGCCCGGGGCCCAACCCCGGGACUGCUCUUGGAACUGCGCGGCUGGAGUGCAGGAGGGGCAGGCGGAAUUCCUGGUGUAGCGGUGAAAUGCGUAGAUAUCAGGAGGAACACCGGUGGCGAAGGCGGCCUGCUGGACUGCGACUGACGUUGAGGCCCGAAAGCGUGGGGAGCAAACAGGAUUAGAUACCCCUGUA